rnacentral:rRNA from 1 species
GACGAACGCUGGCGGCGUGCUUAACACAUGCAAGUCGAACGAAGUGGCGAACGGGUGAGUAACGCGUAAUCAACCUGCCCUUCAGAGGGGUACAACAGUUGGAAACGACUGCUAAUCCCGCAUACUGAAGGAGGGGAUUGCGUCUGAUUAGCUGGUUGGCGGGGUAACGGCCUACCAAGGCGAUGAUCAGUAGCCGGUCGGAGAGGAUGAACGGCAAAAUGGGGACGGAGACACGGCCCAGACUCCUACGGGAGGCAGCAGGGGGGAAUCGUCCGCAAUGGACGAAAGUCUGACGAAGCAACGCCGCGGGAGUGAUGACGGCCUUCGGGUUGUAAAGCUCUGUUAAUCGGGACGCGGUAUCUAACCAGAAAGCCACGGCUAACUACGUGCCAGCAGCCGCGGUAAUUC